UACGUAGGGGGCAAGCGUUGUUCGGAAUUACUGGGCGUAAAGGGCGCGUAGGCGGCACGGCAAGUCAGGAGUGAAAGGCCUGGGCUCAACCGAGGAACUGCUUUUGAGACUGCCGAGCUAGAGUGCAGAAGGGGCAACUGGAAUUCCCAGUGUAGCGGUGAAAAUGCGUAGAUAUCAAGAGGAACACCUGCGGCGAAGGCGGGGUUGCUGGGCCGACACUGACUGAGGCGCGAAAAGCUAGGGGGAGCGAACGGG
rnacentral:rRNA from 1 species